AGUGAUGGAGAGAAGACAUCUAGAAUUGUUAAGAUUAAGAGCAAUAAGUCUCAUGAUUUGAAUAGUGUGGAUGAUACCCAAAAACAGGCUAACAAGUUGAAAGCUGUGAAGGCAAAAAAGUUGGUUAUAAAUCUAGGUGCACGAAAAAUAAAUGUAACUAAUUCACCAAGAUCUGAUGUUUCAAGCUGCCAAAGAGAUCAAGAUUUGACAACUUCCAAUGGCAGUGAAGAUACGGGCCAACAUGGAAUGAGUGAUAGGCUUGAAGGCGAUGGUGAUACAGUUGAUCACUCUGGCCAAGUAAGAAGUUUGAAGUUUUCACGCAGAGAGGG
rnacentral:misc_RNA from 1 species